rnacentral:lncRNA from 1 species
GUAGAGUAAAUGACCAGAUAACUGGAUAUAUUGAUACGCAAGUAAAUGACCAGAUAACUGGAUAUAUUGAUAAACAAGUAAGUGACCAGAUAACUGGAUAAGUUGAUAAACAAGUAAGUGACCAGAUAACUGGAUAAAUAUGAUAAGUAAUACUUGAACAAAUAUAAAGAUUUAAAGCAAUGAAUAUAACCUCAGAUAGUUGACCAGAUAACUGGAUGAGGGAUCUGCGUAAAGUAGUCAACCUCUGUGUUUGACCAGAUAACUGGAAGAGGGAUCUUUUAAAUUAAGUGUUGUUUUUAGAUAAAAGAUAAAACUAUAAUUAACAGAGAACAACACAAGAGAUUUAUACUGGUUCACCCAAACAAGGGCUAGUCCAGUCCCGACCAUCUGCCGGAAUUCACUCGCCUAAAGGUAAUGGCAAAACCUUAGAGUAUCAAGGAAACUCUUAAGAACCUCUCUAAGCUUUAAGGCUACUUCGCUUAGGAACCAGUCUUUUACGGGUAGACUCACACCUUAGAGUAUCAAGGGCACUCUUAAGAACCUCUAACUUUUACGGGUAAAUUAGUACCUUAGAGUAUCAAGGAACUCUUAAAAACCUCUCUAAGCUUUAAGGCUACUUCGCUUAGGAACCAGUCUUUUACGGGUAGACUCACACCUUAGAGUAUCAAGGGCACUCUUAAGAACCUCUAACUUUUACGGGUAAGUUAGUAAAUUAGAGUAUCAAGGAACUCUUAAAAACCUCUGAAAUCUUUAAAGGUAGACUCAACCUAAGAAUUUUCCCGGAAACUCUAUAAAACCAAACUAGAGCUAUAUGGUUGAGCUCACAAACCUUCUCUCACACUUUGGUACUAUUGAGACAACCCUCUCAACCAAAGUGGACACACACAAGAGGUGAUUAGAGGAGUGGAAUAUUAAAGCAAACAACACUUCUUACUUGUAAAGUUGAACAAGAAGAUUAGAAGAAGAAGUUGGAGAGCUUUUGAAACUUUGGAAAGCUAGGACACUUGAGCACUUGAAGGCUUGGAAGCUUGGAGGCAAAAACGUGUGGGCAAGUGUGGAGUGGAAGCUCUUGAAUUUGCUUGUAGUGUGGUGAGUGAAAAUGAGGGGAUUACCUUUCUAUUUAUAGCCUUGGCCACUCAAUGUCCACCCUUGGAUCUUCAAUGGAUGGCUUCUUGAUUUCUCACAUAAAUCCAAGCUUUGUCUUUGAUCUUAUCUUGAAUAGUGCUUUUCUUGGAUAGAGUUUGUUGGAGAAUCUUAUCUUUGUAUAAAUUCAAACUUGAAUAGUGUUUUGUCCCCUUGGAAUAUUAUACCUUGAAUAAAGUGUCAAAAGAUAAUAAUAAUAAUAUUCAAGGUAAAAAUACAAUUAUUCCAAAUAAUAAUAUUCAAGGUGAAAAUGCAAUUCUCCCGAUUUGACUUUUUAACUUUGACUUAAACCCUUAACUCAAAUGAUUAAUUAAUUAACUAGAGUUAGGUUUAAUAUCGAUUAACUUAUUUAACCCCUAUUGAUUAAUAGUGUAAUUAGGGUUUAAAUUGACAUGAUUAAAAUAUAAUCCUAUGUCGACAAUUUUGAUUUUAUAUUCUCCCCCUUUGUCGAUGACAUAUAUGUUUUAACUCAUGUCUGGUCAAUAUUCUAUUUUACCCUUAUGAGCAUGCUCCCCCUGAAUUAUUGACCCAUAAUAUUCAAUUUAAAAGCAGUGGAUCAUGCAUGAUUUCUCCCCCUUAAAACAAUAAGAUAUCGACAAAGUUAAAAAUAGAUACCUGUGAAGUAUCUCCCCCUUAAUGAUAGGACAUAUCUAAUUUGUGGAGAAAAUAAAACUUCAUACCUUAUUGAGCUUUGAUCACAAAUUUGAUUUGUGUGGUUGACCAAAUGUGACGUCUUGCUUAUAAGAGUGUUAGUCAAUCAUAUAGGAGAAAUAACAUGUAAUUUAUGCUCAUUGAUAAAAUAUUGGAUUGAAGCCAAUUUUGAUAUACAUUAUAAGGCAAGUAUGAUAUGAUAAUUUAAAUUACCUUGUGUUAAGAUCAUGCAAUGAAUAAUAAUCCAUGUGUGUGUUAUGGAUGAAGAUGAUCUUAACAUGUAUGGAUUAAAGAUUUUAUAAUGUUAUAAUCCAUGAGAUAUUAGUGAAUGAUAUGUAUAAAUCCAUAAUAUUCACUAAUUGCUUUAAGAAGAAAUUGAGCAUUUAAAAUUUUAAAAUCUAUGUCUUAGUGACAAAUAUAAUCAUGUAAAUAUUCACUAAGUUUUAAAAGAUUUAAAAUUUUCAUUUCAGUCCUUAAAGCCUUAGUAGUAAAACUUCACUUAAAACAAAAUUUCAUUUAAGCCCUUUGAAGUUAUAAUAAAUACUUAGAUUAAUACUUGAAAUAUUUCAUUUAAACUUUGGAAGUAUUAACUAAUUCUAAGCACUUUUCAAUUUGAAAACUUCAUGUAAAUAUUAAUUUUAAGUCCCUGAAGUUUUAACUAAAUAUUCACUGUAAUGAUAUCCUUUGAACCCUUAAGUUUCAAUGAAAAACUUCAUAGAUAAUUUAAUCCCUUUGAAGUUAUAAUGAAUACUUAGAUUAAUACUUAAAAAAUUUCAUUUUAAACCUUGGAAGUAUUAAAUAUUUCUAAGUAAUUUUUUGAUUAAAACUUCUUGUAAAUAUUGAUUCUAAGUCCCUGAAGUUUUACAUAAAUUUAUAUUCACUGUAAAGUUAUCAUUUUGACCCUUAAGUUUUAGUGAAUCUUAAAACUUCAUAAACAAUUUACGUUUAAGUCCUUGAAGUUUCACAAAACUUUGUAUUCACUUAAAAAUAUAAUUUUAAUCCUUAAGUUUUCAGUGAAUUAUUUUAAGUUUCAAAAAGUUUAUGUUUAAGCCCUUGAAGUUUCAAAGUUUAAGACUUUGAAAAGUCGAUUAAUACUUUCAAAAAGAAUUUUAAUUUUAUACCUUGAAGUAUUAACUAAUGUCCAUGCAGCCCUCAAAUUUUUGAUAUUGCUAAUAUUAUGUUUUCUUUAUGCAUGCAUACCCUUAUGUUGAUAAGCUUAGAUGAUUAAAAUCAUAAAACGAAUUUUCAUUUCAAUAGAAGGGGUGAUACAUGACAGGAUUGAUCUCAUAUUCAAUGAGACUACGAUCCAUGAAUGGAUCUCCAAAAUAACAGAAAAACAAACACAAAAUAUAAGUACUCAAAACAUCAAAAUACUUCUUAGGGCAGAUGUAGUUCAGUCAUGGUGGUGCAUGGUUGGGAUGACCUUGGAGCUAAACUCAUGAAAUAGGUUAGCCAGCUCCAGGUUAUAUUCUCUCUCAACAUCUAGCUGUUGCCUUGUUAUGGAAACCAUCUCUUCCAGAUCUCCCAUUCCUUUCUCCAGCAUCCUUACUUGAUGUCGAACCCUUAUGAUUUCCUCAUUCAAAAACACAUUAGUGUUUUGUGAGUUUGGAUCAUAAGUGUUUCUCCAAGUCUUUUGGAAGGAGCUUGCAGUGAAUGGUUGAAUGUGAGAUAUGAUUGGAUGUGGAUAGAGUGGAAUUCCAAAGAACCCUGGACUAAAGAGUUUUGAGAGCAUCCUUGGGUAGUAGCGAGCUCCAGUGUUCUUGGUUGAUGUUGCCAGAUUGUGCAUGAUCAGUGAUACCCAGUUCACUCUGAUCUUUGACAGCAAGCAGUAAAUUGCUACUAAGAUCAACGUUGAUGGUUCUUCUCUAUUUUCAACUUGAGGAUAUAUAUUGUAAGAGAUGAUCUUCAAAAAGAUUGAGGCUUCUGGUAUGAGCAUUGUAUUCAGAAUCUUAUCAGUGCUCUUAGGGUUAUACCUAUGGGUGAGAGUAUUCCAGAGAAUCUCCCAGCUGCACUUAAAAGGUAGCUCAUCCAGGCUUUUGUAGUUUUGAAGCUUCACUCCGUUGUUGGGUAGGUUUAUCCAUAUUCCAAGUUUAUCAGCUCUUAGAAUGAGACAUAUUCCAUUUACCUUGGUGGUGAUCACUUGAGUACCUACUGUCUCAUACUUGAGAUUUGCAUAGAACUGAGCCAACUCGGAUUUGUAGAUCCUGAGCUGCCCUAUGUUCUCAAGGUAGUCCGUGAGCCUGUUGAAGUUUAGCAGCCCUUCAAUCACCUUGCAGUUGAGAGAUCUGAGUAGAACAGGUUCCUCAAAGAUCAUUCUUUGCUCGAGAAUGAGAUUAUAGGAAAACUUGGCUAUUGGAGAGAUCCAUGUUGGUGUUCCUUGGAACAUUUCUGAUACUGGAAUCUUUCUGGUGCGUUUCUUCCGGAUAGGGUUGCUGCUUGAAGGAUUGGGGUUGUAUACCGGACUGGAAGGACAGUCUGGUAUGAUUGUUAGUUCCUUCUUCUCAGGAUUGAUUUCUUGAAUCAACAUCCUUGGGACAAACUGGUUUUAGGAAGAAGAAGAUAUGUAUUUGAUUGUUCUUCCUAUCCUUAUAUAGUAUUUUGAAUAAACCUCCUUUUUAGGUUUAAAGAUCUGUUCAGAUUAGCUGACAUUGCCUGUAGAUCUUUUCACGUGAUGAUCAAGCCAGCUUUGUGUCAAACUUUUGGAUGGUUAGCAGCUUUUAGGGUUUGUUUUUCAAUAAACCCUACUUGGUGGAUAUGAACAGACUUGUCCUAAUUAGAUUUUUAGACAGAAGUUUUGUCUUUUCAGAUGUUUGCAAGAUCUGAUUUUAGAUAUGUUUUUCAUAUAUAAUUUAUUUAAACACAUACCUUUUGUAGUAAUCGACGCAUUCCUGAUUUUGCUUUAUCUUAACUCUUGCAGGUGGUGUUGUCGUUGCUGUUCAACUCACAUAUCAGGUAUGGUGUUUGUAGGAUGAGUGACUGAUUGACCUGGCUGUGAUGGGUUGAGUAUGGUGGCUGAAUUUUCAAUACCGAGGUUGCCGGAAUGUGCAGGCAUGAGUUUGGAAUUUCUUUCACCAAAGUCGAGAAUGUUUGGAUUUUCAAGACAAAGAAGAUUUGUCAUACCAAGUUUUGACAAUUGGCAUGUUUGCCCAUCCCACCUGUUCUUAAAUUAGAUAUAUAGAUUUGGGUAUUUCAUGUGAAUUUCGUAGUGACAUGGCAUGUUAGUCAACUAGUUUUAAGCAUAAGUCGAGUACGUUGAUUAUCUUGAACUUAGUAUGCAAGUGAUUAGUGAUAUAUGUAUAAGAUUUAUAAUAUAAGCAACAUGGCAUGAGUCACCAAUCUUUGAGUGUUCAUCUUGUAUGUAUAAUCGUGGCAUAUAAUGAGUUGUUUUGAAGUUUUCAUGCAUGUAUUGUACAUCUCAUAUGUAGGUAGAUUCAUUUUACUUUGCAUGCAUACUAUAUGUAUUUAUCAAAAGAUUAUAAGCAUACAGAUGGUUUGUAAUACGUAAAACAGGCAUGUAUAGGAUUAGUUUCAUGAAUUGAUUGUGAGUUAGCUAGUUUAGUAAGGAAAUAUUCAUGUUUAUGAUUGUAUGUCAUAUAGUUCUCUAACUAGUAUUAAAAAGAUGGCAUCAUUCAAAGAUAAUCAACUGUUUGGUAGGUGAUUGUAUGUAAGCAUGAUGAGUGCAUAUGAUAUGUAUGAAUCAACGAGUUGAAUAAUGAAAGCACAAUCACAUAGUAUAUAACUGAUUGUUUCAGAUGAUUAUGUAGUUGAAUAUUUCAUAGGAGAUUUUAUAAACCAAGCAUUUAUCAGAUCAUAUAUUUUAUAGAAGCAUAUAAAUCAAUGUGUAGGCAUGUAUUAACGUGAUUGAUAUGAUAGAUAUGCAUUUAGAUCUUACUAUGUCUAUUGAGUUAUGUGCGUGUAGAGCUUAGCAUGUGAAUGAUAAAAGCAUGUAUGUUUAUAUAGCAUUAGAUCAUGUUAAGUUCAUAUGCAUAUAGAUCUACUUAGGCUUUAUUUGAGAUACAAAGCAAUCUAGGACAUAGUUGCCUUGUAUAAAUGAUUUUGUUUGUAUGCUAAUGUGUUGAUCUCCAAUGAUUUGUUCUGCGGAGUCUAAGUUUCUGAGAUUCCUAUUUGAUGGAAGUUCAGAGAUGAUUAUUUCUUGAUCAUCUCUUUCUAUGGGAGUGUCAGAUGGUAUUUGUUCAAUGACUUUAAUUCCUCCUUCUUCUGUGUUUGGAACAGAGAUGGACUCAUCAAAGUCAAUGUGUAGGGAUUCUAUCAAUGUUUGUCUUUCUUUGUGAAGGACUCUAUAUGCCUUGUUCCUUUUUGAGUAUCCAACCAGGAUUCCUUCAUCAGAUUUUUGUGCUGAUUUAUCUUGGUUUCCCCUUGUUGUGAGAACAUAGCACUUACUCCCAAAUACUUUAAAGAAUGAAACUUUGGGUUUUCUGUUAUUCCAAAGUUCAUAGGGCGUUUUAAGGUCUUUCUAAUGAUUACCUUAUUGAGAGUGUAACAGGCAGUGCUUAUAGCUUCUGCCCAUAGAUAUUGAGGGGAGUCAUGUUCUUGUAACAUAGACUUACUCAUUUCUUGAAGAGUACGAUUUUUUCUUUCUACUAUUCCAUUUUGAGGUGGAGCUUGAGAAACAACAAAUUCAUGCUUUAUCCCAUUGGAUAUACAGUACUCUUCAAAGUCAGAAUUUUCAAAUUCUCCUCCAUGAUCACUUCUGAUUUUUAUGAUAGAUAAACCUUUUUCAUUCUGUACUAGGGUACAAAAUUUAGAAAAUUCACCAAAGGUUUCAUUUUUGUUUCUUAGAAAGAACACCCAUGUAUAGUGGGAAUAAUCAUCAAUGAUUACAUAGGUGAACCUUUUUCCUCCAAGGCUUUGGAUUUGGGUUGGCCCAAAUAAGUCCAUGUGAAGAAGUUCUAAGGGUCUAAAAGUGGUUAUUUUUGUGAGGGAUUUAAGUGAGCUUUUGUGUUGCUUUCCUUUUUGACAAGCAUCACAGAUAUUACUUUUUUCAUAAGCUAUUUUAGGCAACCCGGUUACUAAUUCUUCUUUAGAUAAUCUAGAUAGCUUUGAGUAGCUGGUGUGACCUAGUCGUCUAUGCCACAGAACUUUCUCAUCACUUGCAGCAAGCAUGCAGAAGUCAUGAGUUGGUUUAGAUUUAUCAAAGUUUAUAGAAUAAGCAUUGCUUUUUCUAUAUCCUCUGGGAAUGAUAACUCCCUCAGAGUUAGUGAUAGAACAAUUGUAUUUUUCAAAUUUUACUACACAACCGAUAUCACAUAAUUGACUUAUGCUAAUCAGGUUGUGUUUUAGACCAUUUACUAAGUAUACAUUUUUAAGAAUGGUUUUUCUGUAUUUCCUACAUUACCCCUACCUACUAUUGUACCUUCAUUGUUAUCGGCGAACUUAACCUUUUUAGUAGUAGGUAAGUCUAUCAAGUCGUUUAGUAGACUUGAUUCCCCGGUCAUGUGUCUUGUGCAUCCACUGUCGAACAUCCAUUUUGACACAUGCUUUUCCUGAAAAAGUUGAAAGAUCUUUUGGUACCCAUACUGAGUUGGGUCCUGAUGAAUUAACAUAUUUAAUCUGCUUAUAGUUUCGUAACUCAUCUUUAGUCAUCCAUCUUUGCUUUGGAUGAUUCAUCUUAGAAUGAUUUUUCUUUUUCUUAAGAUGAAUGAACUUUGUAUUGCUAGAAUAAUUAUUAUAUAUUGAAGCAUGCAAAGGUUUUGUAUAACUAGAUUCCCUUACAAAAUGAUCAUUAUAAGUUGUGGCAUUUAAGGUUUUGUUAAUAGGUGCAUUUGACUCAAACCCUAAGCCAAAUUUCUUUUGACCCAAGUUCGAGCCUUGCAACAUAUUAUUUAACUUGGAUGAACUAUUGAAGAAUUUUUGAAGAACACUAUUUUUCUCAUUUAUUCUUUUAGUUUGUAAUUGCAUGCUAUUAUAUUUUUCAGAUAAUUUUUGUAAAGUUUCUUCAUGCUCAAGUAUGAGUUUAUCCUUAGAUUCUAUUUCAGUUUUAAGCAUGAUUGUUUCUUUUUCUUUAUUUCUAAUGAUUUCCUCAAAAUUAUCUAUUUUUAAUUCUAACAAUUCAACCCUAUCAUCAUUUAUUUCAUUGGGUUGCUUUUCUUCAGAUUCUAGAAUAUCAAGUAAUUCAAAAUUUUGACUCUUAAGUGUUUUAAUUUUUUCAUCUCCCCUUUUUAUUUUACUUGAGAGUUUAUGAUUUUCUUCUUUUAAUAACAUGCAUUCUUUUUGUGAUUCUUCUAAUUCUAUUGAGUGAUCAAUAUGUGAUUUAUUCAUGCAUUCUAGUCUUAAUGAUUUACUUAAUUUUUUCUCAGCUUUAUAUUUAUCCAUUAAUUUUAGAAAUGCUUCUUCUAAUGAAUUAAAUCUAGUAUUUGUAAAGUUUACCUCAGAGUCGUUCUCAUGAGCCAUGAGGCAGUCUUCUUGAUCUGACUCAGAAUCUGACCAGUGUACUUGAUGCGCUUUUUCUUUCUUUAGUAGAGGAUAUUCAGGUCUGAUGUGUCCAGAUUUGUCGCACAAGUAGCAGAUGGGCUCCUUUGAGUCUUUGUGGUUUUCACUCACUUUUCUGUCGGAAUUCUGAUAGUCUAUCCUUGAAUUUCUCUUUUCUUUCCUUUUUAUGAGAUAUCUCUUUAAAUGAUUUGUGAGCAUUGCCAAGUCAUCAUCAGAUGAUUCAUUAUCGCUUUGACUUUUGAGAGCAAUGUCCUUUUUCUCCUCUUUUGCUCUAGAGAUAAAUCUUUCCUCUUCAUAGGCCAUCAGAUUUCCGCAAAGUUCUACCACUGUGAGUUUGUUCAGAUCAUGAGAUUCUUGGAUAGCAUUCCUCUUUGAGUAGUAUUUGUUUGGAAGGCUUCUUAGAAUCUUGCUCACUUGCUUUUUCUCAGUUACUGGAUCCCCUAGUCCAGCCAGAUCAUUGACUAUUUGUGAUAGUCGAAUGUUCAUUUCUGCGAUAGUCUCAUCUUCCUUCAUAGAGAAUCUUUCGAAUUGAGAAGUGGCAUGUAGUAGCUUAUUUUCCUUGACGUGGGAGGUUCCUUCAUGUAAAUCCUCCAAAGCUUUCCAUACCUUGUGAGCUGUAUCCAAGCAUCGAAUUCUGCUGUACUCAGAUUCAUAUAUUGAGAGCGCCAUAUAGUGCAUUCAAUGCUCUUGAGUUGUUGUUUUCCUUGAGGAUAUCCAUUGCUCCCCAAGUCUCUUCUUUGCUUGUUGGAAUCUCAUAAUCUUCCAAUAUGAUUUUCCAGAUUCCAUUGUUGAUUGACUUUAAGUAUAACUUCAUCUUGUUCUUCCAGAAGUCAUACUUUACUCCAUCGAACCUGGGAGGUUUGUUCGAUGCAAGACCAGUACUGUUUUCACCAUUUGAAGCCAUAGUUGUUGUUGUAAGAUGUUAGUCUGACUUCAACGAAACUUGGCUCUGAUACCACUUGUUGGAUCGUGAUCCGAGGCUAUAAGGGGGGGUAAUAGCCUCUUUUCGAUUUAUAUAGGUUGAUUGCGGAAUUACCUGUAAAUGCUAAAUAAAAAAUGGUUGAACAAGUAAUGAUAUAAGGAUAUUAUGAUUUUGAUUGAUAUAAUGAUGUAAGUAUUACUCUCUGAAGCUUACUACAGUAUAUGAAUACUGAGUCAACUUGCUUGAUAGUGUUUUACACACAACUAUAGUAUAUGAAUACUAAGUUAUAUUGAAAACACAAAUUGUAAUGUAGAGUAAAUGACCAGAUAACUGGAUAUAUUAAUAAACAAGUAAGUGACCAGAUAACUGGAUAAGUUGAUAAACAAGUAAGUGACCAGAUAACUGGAUAAAUAUGAUAAGUAAUACUUGAACAAAUAUAAGGAUUUAAAGCAAUGAAUAUAACCUCAGAUAGUUGACCAGGUAACUGGAUGAGGGAUCUGCGUAAAGUAGUCAACCUCUGUGUUUGACCAGAUAACUGGAAGAUGGAUCUUUUUAAAUUAAGUGUUGUUUUUUUAAACAAAAGAUAAAACUAUAAUUAACAGAGAACAACACAAGAGAUUUAUACUGGUUCACCCAAACAAGGGCUAGUCCAGUCCCGACCAACUGCCGGAAUUCACUCGCCUAAAGGUAAUGGCAAAACCUUUCUAAGCUUUAAGGCUACUUCGCUUAGGAACCAGUCUUUUACGGGUAGACUCACACCUUAGAGUAUCAAGGGCACUCUUAAGAACCUCUAACUUUUACGGGUAAGUUAGUACCUUAGAGGAUCAAGGAACUCUUAAAAACCUCUCUAAGCUUUAAGGCUACUUCGCUUAGGAACCAGUCUUUUACGGGUAGACUCACACCUUAGAGUAUCAAGGGCACUCUUAAGAACCUUUAACUUUUACGGGUAAGUUAGUACCUUAGAGUAUCAAGGAACUCUUAAAAACCUCUGAAAUCUUUAAAGGUAGACUCAACCUAAGAGUUUUCCCGGAAACUCUAUAAAACCAAACUAGAGCUUUAUGGUUGAGCUCACAAACCUUCUCUAACACUUUGGUACUAUUGAGACAACCUUCUCAACCAAAGUGGACACACACAAGAGGUGAUUAGAGGAGUGGAAUAUUAAAGCAAACAACACUUCUUACUUGUAAAGAUAAACAAGAAGAUUAGAAGAAGAAGUUGAAGAGCUUUUGAAGCUUUGGAAAGCUAGGACACUUGAGCACUUGAAAGCUUGGAAGCUUGGAGGCAAAAACGUGUGGGCAAGUGUGGAGUGAAAGCUCUUGAGUUUGCU